ACUUGGGAAGCCGAAAACAAGUACUAGAGUAGGCA
rfam:Sphingobacterium sp. JB170 genome assembly, contig: Scaffold25